rnacentral:rRNA from 1 species
UACAGAGACUGCAAGCGUUAUUCGGAUUCACUGGGCGUAAAGGGUGCGCAGGCGGCCGUGUGUGUGAGGCGUGAAAGCCCGGGGCUUAACCCCGGAAUUGCACCUCAAACUACACGGCUAGAGCAUUGGAGAGGGUAGCAGAAUUCACGGUGUAGCAGUGAAAUGCGUAGAUAUCGUGAGGAAUACCAGAGGCGAAGGCGGCUACCUGGACAAUUGCUGACGCUCAGGCACGAAGGCCAGGGGAGCAAACGGG